rnacentral:rRNA from 1 species
UACCAGCACCCCGAGUGGUCGGGACGAUUAUUGGGCCUAAAGCAUCCGUAGCCGGUCUUGCAAGUCUUCCGUUAAAUCCAGCUGCUUAACAGAUGGGCUGCGGAGGAUACUACAAGACUAGGAGGCAGGAGAGGCAAGCGGUACUCAGUGGGUAGGGGUAAAAUCCGUUGAUCCAUUGAAGACCACCAGUGGCGAAGGCGGCUUGCCAGAAUGCGCUCGACGGUGAGGGAUGAAAGCUGGGGGAGCAAACCGG